GUGCCAGCCGCCGCGGUAAUACGUAGGUGCAAGCGUUGUCCGGAAUUAUUGGGCGUAAAGCGCGCGCAGGCGGUCCUUUAAGUCUGAUGUGAAAGCCCACGGCUCAACCGUGGAGGGUCAUUGGAAACUGGGGACUUGAGUGCAGAAGAGGAAAGUGGAAUUCCAAGUGUAGCGGUGAAAUGCGUAGAGAUUUGGAGGAACACCAGUGGCGAAGGCGACUUUCUGGUCUGUAACUGACGCUGAGGCGCGAAAGCGUGGGA
rnacentral:rRNA from 1 species